CGUCUGUUAACGUCAUACCCAGAAUUUUUGCUGAUUUUACAAUUUCUAGGUGUUGCCCGUUUAUAAUAAUUGGUUCAACCAUGCAUUCACGUUUGGCAAACUGAAUCCUCAAUUCUUUGCAUUUAGCUGGGUGUAGGUGUAAUUUAUUUUGAUCAGACCAGUUCACACUCCCGUCAACAAUUGGCUGUAAGGCACUGUUACCGAACCUAGGAAUAACCACAGAUAUUGUAGUAUCGUCAGCAUAUUUCCAC